CAAAUCAAUAUAUAUCACAUGGUUUUAUAAAUAAAAUAAACCGAGCUUAUAGCCUUUGCUUCUAUGACGAAGUAAAUCUUCGCUAGUCGUUUCUUAUUCACCGUAACUCCGAUUAGUGUCCUUUUCGUGUCUACGUGAUUGUAGCUACGCGUAUAUUUGUUUUUAAAUUUUUUAUUGAUUGGUGUAUUUUUCUAAAUUUAUUAUGUUUGCUAUGCAUGUUUGUUCGGAUGCUUGUGUGGUAUGAUCCUGUCUAGUCGGUGAGUUUUAUAUGGUGAUCAAGAAGGACCAGAGUUGGUAAUAGUGAGCAAGCAAUUAAUUGAAGAUUUGGACUAGCAGAAUCAGUAAGAGCAGCAGGAAAGCUUUUAUCCAGGCAAGU
rnacentral:lncRNA from 1 species